GGGANCUCCAGGGAGACUGCCGGUGAUAAACCGGAGGAAGGUGGGGACGACGUCAAGUCAUCAUGGCCCUUACGAGUAGGGCUACACACGUGCUACAAUGGCGCAUACAGAGGGCAGCAAGCUAGCGAUAGUGAGCGAAUCCCAAAAAGUGCGUCGUAGUCCGGAUUGGAGUCUGCAACUCGACUCCAUGAAGUCGGAAUCGCUAGUAAUCGUAGAUCAGAAUGCUACGGUGAAUACGUUCCCGGGCCUUGUACACACCGCCCNUCACACCAUGGGAGUGGGCUGCAAAAGAAGUGGGUAGUUUAACCUUC
rnacentral:rRNA from 1 species